AUAAUUAAGGUUUACAAUUCAUAGAGUGACCAUAAGACAUAGUGCAUAUUUGACUACUUACAAGCAAUCAAAACAAAGCUGAAAAAGCUCACAUGAAUAGUUGGAUAAGGUUGAGAUAAUUAAGGUUUACAAUUCAUACACUGACCAUAGGACAUGGUGCAUAUUUGACUACUUGCAAGCAAUCAUAAGUAAGAAAGCUAACAAAGCACACAUGAAUAGUUGGAUAAGGCUGAGAUAAUUAAGGUUUACAAUUCACACACUGACCAUAGGACGUGGUGCAUAUCUGACUACUUGCAAGUAAUCAAAACAAAGCUGAAAAAGCUCACAUGAAUAGUUGGAUAAGGUUGAGAUAAUUAAGGUUUACAAUUCAUACACUGACCAUAGGACAUGGUGCAUAUCUGACUACUUGCAAGUAAUCAAAACCAAAGCUGACAAAGCUCAUACGAAUAUAUAGUUGGAUGAAGCGGAGACAAUAAGUCUGACUAGCCCUAGCCCUAGCCCUCUGCAAUAAAUUCAUCAUUAAGCGCCGGGUCCUCAGCAAUAAAUUCCUCAUUAAGCUUCAGGCCCAAAGCAAUAAAUUCCUCAUUAAACCUAGCACCAUAUACUCCAGUAAGAAGUCCUUGCAGAAAAUGCCUGAGAUCAUCAUCAAGAAGAGGCCGCUGUCACACCGAAAAAAAAGCAAGUUAAGCAUACAACCACCCAAAAGAAUACUACUACGUAUA
rnacentral:lncRNA from 1 species